GACGAAGGUGGCGAGCGUUGUUCGGAAUCACUGGGCAUAAAGCGCACGUAGGCGGUGGCGUAAGUCGGGUGUGAAAUCCCUCGGCCCAACCGAGGAACUGCGCCCGAUACUGCGUUGCUUGAGGACCAAAGGGGUGCAUGGAAUUUUCCGGUGGAGCGGUGAAAUGCGUUGAUAUCGGAAGGAACGUCGGCGGCGAAAGCGGUGCACUGG
rnacentral:rRNA from 1 species